UUUACAUUGUGUUAAACACUUGGGAUUCAGAUAUUAAUGUCUCCCCAAAGGAACUCAAGCCCAUGAGAGAAAGAACAGAAACAUAGCAUUUUAAGAAAAUAUGGAAGUUCCCCCAUAUUGGGGUGUUGUGGCAACCCAGAGAGUGGGAGUUUAGGUGAAGACAUUGCUCCUAACGACAGGGGGAACCAUAAGAGGACUUCUUCAGAACAGACUCAUUUUCCUCUAAUGUCCCACAGAGACGGAUCCUGGGGCAUGAAUGGUGUAAGGCAAGGGCCAGUCUAAGGAAAGGGAUUUGCUGCAUCCUGGGAGAAAUCUCAGCAUCCCUGACAGGAUAUUUGGGACAGGAAUGCAGCUGAAUGACCUGUCCUGGGCCAGUGAACCUGGACUUCAACCAGAUGUCAGAAUCUCAAGGUACAACCAACAUUUUCGCUCCAUGUUGGGUCAAAACAGUUAACACAGCCAAGAUAUUCAAGGUUUCAGUAGAUACUGACUAAGUCCUGGCCAGCUGUGAAAAGAAAGAGAAUAUAAAGUGCUAACAUGAGGUAAGUGCUACGGUCUACAGAAGGCCAUGGAAGAGAUGACAAACUCCAGCACCAUGCCUGAGUGUCCAGUGUGCUCUGCUGGGGCAGCAUAUUUGUACAUUGCUGUAUUUGAAAAAAUCCUACAAGAUUCAUGAAAUUGGACCACCGUCUUUAUAGCACUACUAAUGGUAAAACAAGUAAGGAUGGCUGGUUUGCAGUCAUCUGAGCAGCAUCUCUAGUUUCAUAGAUAUGGUUUCUCUCUGAUACUGAACGGCUUCCAAUUUCAAGUAGAAUGCUACAUCAGAAGAAUAACGAUGGGAAGAGAACUAGUUUCUUGUGUAAUCCUACAUGUUUUAGUCUGCGCAUUACAAACCAUUAUUUGAAGAAGGGUGGACAGCCUCCAGCUGUCUGCCAAAGAGGUCAUCGGCAACACAGGCUAAGAACCGGCUUCUGGGCGGGCAUGAUGGCUCAGCCUGUAAUCCCAGCACUUUGGGAGGCCGAGGCGG